rnacentral:pre_miRNA from 1 species
UUGGGUAAAAUCAACGUAGGACCUACACUUUGAAAAUGAAACCCACAUGAGGUGGUGGGACAUGCAUUGAUUUUAUAA